GAUAGGAUGUAACAUGACAUGAUUGAUAGGUGAUAGGAUGUAAUAUGACAUGAUUACAUCCUAUCACCUAUCAAUCAUGUCAUGUUACAUCCUAUC
rnacentral:pre_miRNA from 1 species